rnacentral:misc_RNA from 1 species
AACGCACCUUGCGCCCUUUGGCUAUUCUGAAGGGCAUGCCUGUUUGAGUAUCAUGAACAUCUCAACUCUCACGGUUCGCCGUGAUGAGCUUGGACUUUGGGGGUCUUGCCGGCCUGCGGGUUGGCUCCUCUCAAAUUGAUCAGCUUGCCAGUGUUUGGUGGCAUCACGUGUGUGAUAACUAUCUACGCUCGUGGUUCUCCGCCAGGUAACCUUCGGUGACGGAGGUUCGCUGGAGCUCACAAACGUCUCUCCUCAGUGAGGACAGCUUUUUAACGUUUGAUCUCAAAUCAGGUAGGACUACCCGCUGAACUUAA